rnacentral:rRNA from 1 species
UACGGAGGAUGCGAGCGUUAUCCGGAUUUAUUGGGUUUAAAGGGUGCGUAGGCGGACGCUUAAGUCAGCGGUAAAAUUGCGGGGCUCAACCUCGUCGAGCCGUUGAAACUGGGUGCCUUGAGUGGGCGAGAAGUACGCGGAAUGCGUGGUGUAGCGGUGAAAUGCAUAGAUAUCACGCAGAACUCCGAUUGCGAAGGCAGCGUACCGGCGCCCAACUGACGCUGAAGCACGAGGGCGUGGGUAUCGAACAGG